CCCUGCAUUCUCCCUCCCUUUCUAUUCUUCCUUUCUUCUCCUCUUUUCUCUGUCGCUUCUCCGCGGGACCGGGUUAAUGUAGUAACAUUUGUAUUCUCCUCCCGAGCCUCACAGAGUGAAGAUGAGGAUCUGCUGCAGCAUUGAUGACCGGCACAUUAUUGACCUCGUCAAAGUGUGGACUUGGAGGAGGACCAAACAUCCACCAACUUGCUAGUCCGGUAUUGAGCUUUUCUCUUCAGGGGUCUCCACAGCGAAUCAUCUCUCUCCACCUAUCCCCAACACUAGCUUCAUAUCCUCAUUUAUUCCAUCCAUAUACCUCCUCUUUGUCCUUCCUCUUUGCCUCCUGCCUGGCAGCUCCAUGUCCAACAUUCUCCUACCAAUAUACUCACUCUCCCUCCUCUGGACAUGUCCAAACCAUCUUAAUCUGUCCUCCCUAACUUUGUCCCCCAAGCGUCCAACAUGAGCUGUCCCUCUGAUGUACUCAUUCCU